GCUCCUUUACAGCUUACACAUAUGACAAGAGCUGUGAAGUACUGGUGCAGGCUGAUACAACUGAGCCCGGAGAGACUACCAUAUAUCAGUGUUACAAGAUGCUAGCUGUUCUGGAUGAUUCAGGUCGCACCACCUGGACCACCUGGACCACCUGGGCCCGGAGAGACUACCAUAUAUCAGUGUUACAAGAUGCUACCUGUUCUGGAUGAUUCAGGUCGCACCACCUGGGCCACACACAUUAAAACUAUUUUAUUCAGAUUUGGAUUUGGAUAUGCAUGGAUAGCACAAGAAGUUGGGGAUAAGAUUGUUUUUAUUUCCAUGUUUAAACAGAGACUAUUUGACAACUUGCAGCAAACCUGGAAUGUAAAUGUGAACAGUUUAUCUGACUCAUUCCUAUAAACAUUUUAAAUCGCUACUAAAUGUUGAAUAUUACUUAAAUUCACCACUUCCAUCUCACUUAAAAAGGAUUUUAAGUAACUUUCCAAUAGCAGUAAAUACUGGAAGAUACCAUGCCUAACUAUAUGAAGAAAGACUUAUUAAUAAUUUGUGAAUCCUACAGCUCUGGUAAUGCACGUUUAGAUAAAUAUAUUACAUACCGUAACUGUAUCUCUAUUAUUUCCUCAGAUGCAUAUGAUACCUUAUAUAAAAUAUCUAUUUUUCUCAACCAAAGCUCAUCAACUUAGGGUAAAUAGUAAAUAAUCCACUGCGAAUUUAUAAGAAUAAAAACAAAAACAAAUGUAAAUAAUGUAAAUAUCAUUUUGCGCAGGCUUUAUGUAUUCCUGCAUAUGUAUGUAUUUUGGGCCAGUGGCUUUCGUUGAAUAAAUUGUCUGUGUGUC